UUCAACGUAAAUUUUCUCACGAAUUUAAAAAUGUACUAGAUAUACAUAAACCAAGAAAAAUAAAAUCUGUAUAUUGAUUAGAUUAUGAAGGAGAAGCAGAAGCGUAGCGAAGCAGCAUAAGAAGGAGAAGCGAAAGAAGGAGUGUAUAAUAUUUGUAAUGUUACAUAUAUCAGAAGAGCGAAACGUAUAUGCUAUGGUACAGCUAUGAGGGCUACAUAUUGUAUUUACAUUUAUAUAGUGGUGUAUUUUAGAAAAGUGUACGUAAAAGUUAGAAUAUUAAACCGGAAACUAUGAACUACA